CGGUUGAUCCUGCCGGAGGUCACUGCUAUUGGGAUUCGACUAAGCCAUGCGAGUCGAGAGGGUGAAGCCCUCGGCAGACGGCUCAGUAACACGUGGGUUAUCUGCCCUUAGGUGGAGGAUAACCUCGGGAAACUGAGAAUAAUACUCCAUAGGUCUAGGAUGCUGGAAUGCACCUAGACUAAAAGCUCCGGCGCCUAAGGAUGAGUCUGCGGACUAUCAGGUUGUAGUCAGGGUAAGGACCUGACUAGCCUACGACGGAUACGGGUUGUGAGAGCAAUAACCCGGAGACGAUAUCUGAGACACGAUAUCGGGCCCUACGGGGCGCAGCAGGCGCGAAACCUUCACAAUGUGCGAAAGCACGAUGAGGGAAUCCCAAGUGCUUGCACUUAAGUGUAAGCUGUUUCUUUGUUUAAAACGCAGAGAGAGGAAGGGCUGGGUAAGACGGGUGCCAGCCGCCGCGGUAAUACCUGCAGCUCAAGUGGUGACCGCUAUUAUUGGGCCUAAAACGUUCGUAGCCGGCUGAGUAAAUGCCUGGGUAAAUCGUGCCGCUUAACGGUACGAAUUCCGGGAAGACUGCUCAGCUUGAGACCGGGAGAAGCUAGAGGUACUCCUGGGGUAGAGGUGAAAUUCUGUAAUCCUGGGGGGACCACCAGUGGCGAAGGCGUCUAGCUGGAACGGGUCUGACGGUGAGGGACGAAACCCUGGGGCGCAAACCGGAUUAGAUACCCGGGUAGUCCAGGGCGCAAACGCUGCUUGCUUGAUGUUAGCUGGGCUCCGGGCCCAGCUAGUGUCGGAGAGAAGUCGUUAAGCAAGCUGCCUGGGAAGUACGAUCGCAAGAUUGAAACUUAAAGGAAUUGGCGGGGGAGCAC
rnacentral:rRNA from 1 species